rnacentral:lncRNA from 1 species
UGUCUGCUCAAUUUUCUUGACAGAUAAUCACUCCGUGGGAAGAGGCUAUACAAACAAAAUACAAGGGCUUACAGGAAUGUACAUCUGUAAGAGGUAUUUUGGGCUUAUUCAGUAUGCUUGAAAAGUCAUAAAUCUUAUCAUAUUCUAUUAUGAGAAUGACAUUUUCUAAAUGCCUAACUUCAUUAGCCGCCCUGGGCAAUUUUUAGCCAUGCAUUCUGCUGAUUUGGAUCUUUCUGUAAGUCUAGCAAUGAGCCUGAUGAACUGGUGAAAGGGAUUCCAUAUAGUCGAUCCGAAUUAUUGAGAAUAAGGUUUAAUUUAUUGUUUUGUUUUUGUCUUCUUG